rnacentral:rRNA from 1 species
UACGUAGGGUGCGAGCGUUGUCCGGAAUUAUUGGGCGUAAAGAGCUCGUAGGCGGCUUGUUGCGUCGACUGUGAAAACCCGCGGCUCAACCGUGUGGCUUGCAGUCGAUACGGGCAGGCUAGAGUUCGGUAGGGGAGACUGGAAUUCCUGGUGUAGCGGUGAAAUGCGUAGAUAUCGGGAGGAACACCAGUGGCGAAGGCGACUUCCUGGCCUGUUCUUGACGCUGAGGCGCGAAAGCUAGGGGAGCAAACGGG